rnacentral:lncRNA from 1 species
GGGAGGAUGUCGGGUUCGUCGCUGCCCAGCGCCCUGGCCCUCUCGCUGUUGCUGGUCUCUGGCUCCCUCCUCCCAGGGCCAGGCGCCGCUCAGAACGAGCCAAGGAUUGUCACCAGUGAAGAGGUCAUUAUUCGAGACAGCCCUGUUCUCCCUGUCACCCUGCAGUGUAACCUCACCUCCAGCUCUCACACCCUUACAUACAGCUACUGGACAAAGAAUGGGGUGGAACUGAGUGCCACUCGUAAGAAUGCCAGCAACAUGGAGUACAGGUGAGAGUGGUGGGCAGCUCCUGGGAAGGUGGGAGGGAGUGUGGCUGAGCUUACUUGACAUUCAUAAUCCAUAGUUGCGCCAUGCAGAAGGGACAUGAGAUAUAUUUGGUUCUCCCUUUGAGAGUCCAAUCCAGUAUCUCAGGUAAGGCCCAGUAGUCUAGAAAAGAUUCCCAAAGGAUUCUAAUGAGCAGCCAGAUUGGAGAAUCAUAGAUGAUCCCCUCACUAUAAUCAUAGAGAAACUGAGGCUGUGAAGUAGUGAUUUGUUCAGGGUAACAAUGUUAGUCAAUAGGAGAGUCACACUUAGAAUGUAGUCUCUUGACCUAAUCCAGU